GACGAACGCUGGCGGCGUGCCUAAUACAUGCAAGUCGAACGCUUCUUUUUCCACCGGAGCUUGCUCCACCGGAAAAAGAGGAGUGGCGAACGGGUGAGUAACACGUGGGUAACCUGCCCAUCAGAAGGGGAUAACACUUGGAAACAGGUGCUAAUACCGUAUAACAAUCGAAACCGCAUGGUUUUGAUUUGAAAGGCGCUUUCGGGUGUCGCUGAUGGAUGGACCCGCGGUGAAUUAGCUAGUUGGUGAGGUAACGGCUCACCAAGGCCACGGGGCAUAGCCGACCUGAGAGGGGGUUCGCACACAUUGGGACUCAGACACGGCCCAAACUCCUACGGGAGGCAGCAGUAGGGAAUCUUCGGCAAUGGACGAAAGUCUGACCGAGCAAAGCCGCGUGAGUGAAGAAGGUUUUCGGAUCGUAAAACUCUGUUGUUAGAGAAGAACAAGGAUGAGAGUAACUGUUCAUCCCUUGACGGUAUCUAACCAGAAAGCCACGGCUAACUACGUGCCAGCCGCCGCCGUAA
rnacentral:rRNA from 1 species